AACCAUUCUCACCUGCGGCUAGACCUGCGGAGGGAUCAUUAACAAGCUGUGGGAGAUCAAUUUGAUCUCACACCUGGCCAACCUUGUUAACCUUAAAUAUAUUGCUUUGGUGAGCCCUGGCGGCUUUAGGGUUUAUAUAUAUAUAUCCCUAACCCAGACUAGUUCUCACCAAAGUCAAACCCUAAACUCUUGAUUGUUUCUGCUGUCUGAGCAUGCAAGUGCAAAAUUUAGUUAAAAAAA
rnacentral:misc_RNA from 1 species